UAAACAGGCAGAACAGUACGUGCUGGCUCCGCCCUCGGGAAGUUCAGGAGGGGAGACCUGGGAAAGGUGACCUUGCAGCACAGAGGCGCCUAGGACUGGAAGCAAUCCCAGCCACAGUCGGAGGCAGACAAUCGCAGCCGUUCCUCCUUCACUAUUCCUCUGUAUUCUGGUCCGCGGGAUCACUGGGGUUGGAAGAGACUGGUUUGACUCGUUUUGCUGUUUUCGGCAGUAAUUCACAUGCCUCCGGCCCCUGCCAGGUCCCGGAGAGCCUCUGCCCACGGAUGACUCUGUAAUGACCUGCUGCUCACAUGCUGUUACAAGAUAUUGGACAUAGCGUCCUGUGCUCUACAGGAGGACCUUGCUGUUUACCUAUUUUAUGUAUAGUAGUUAGUAUCUGCAAAUUCCAAAGUCCCAGUUUAUACUUCUCCACCCCCUUUCCCCUCAGUUACCAUAAGUUUCUUUUCUAUGUCUGUGAGUCUGUCUCUGUUUUGUAAAUAAAUUCAUUUGUGUGUCU